GUGUCAGCAGCCGCGGUAAAACGUAGGACGCAAGCGUUAUCCGGAGUUACUGGGCGUAAAGCGCGGGCAGGCGGCUCGCAACGUCUGAUGUGAAAUCUCCUCGCUCAACGGGGAGAGGCCAUUGGAAACGGUCGAGCUGGAGGGCAGUAGAGGUAGGCGGAAUUCCGGGUGGAGUGGUGAAAUGCGUAGAGAUCCGGAGGAACACCAGAGGCGAAGGCGGCCUACUGGGCUGCACCUGACGCUGAGCCGCGAAAGCCAGGGGAGCGAACGGGAUUAGAAACCCCCGUAGUCC
rnacentral:rRNA from 1 species